AGUGAACGCUGGCGGUAGGCCUAACACAUGCAAGUCGAACGGCAGCACAGUAAGAGCUUGCUCUUACGGGUGGCGAGUGGCGGACGGGUGAGGAAUACAUCGGAAUCUACUUUUUCGUGGGGGAUAACGUAGGGAAACUUACGCUAAUACCGCAUACGACCUACGGGUGAAAGCAGGGGAUCUUCGGACCUUGCGCGAUUGAAUGAGCCGAUGUCGGAUUAGCUAGUUGGCGGGGUAAAGGCCCACCAAGGCGACGAUCCGUAGCUGGUCUGAGAGGAUGAUCAGCCACACUGGAACUGAGACACGGUCCAGACUCCUACGGGAGGCAGCAGGGGGGAAUAUUGGACAAGGGGCGAAAGCCUGACCCAGCCAUACCGCGUGGGUGAAGAAGGCCUUCGGGUUGUAAAGCCCUUUUGUGGGGAAAGAAAAGCGGCAGGUUAAUACCCCGCUGUUCUGACGGUACCAAAAGAAUAAGCACCGGCUAACUUCGU
rnacentral:rRNA from 1 species